GCCUUUGUGGUGUAGUGGUCAUCACGCUCGACGCGUAUUCGAGAGGUUCGUGGUUCGAGUCCCCGCGAGGGCG
rnacentral:tRNA from 1 species